UACGUAGGGACCAAGCGUUGUUCGGAUUUACUGGGCGUAAAGGGCGCGUAGGCGGCAAUUCAAGUCAUCUGUGAAAUCUCCGGGCUUAACCCGGAACGGUCAGAUGAUACUGCUUUGCUAGAGUGCAGAAGGGGCAAUCGGAAUUCUUGGUGUAGCGGUGAAAUGCGUAGAUAUCAAGAGGAACACCUGAGGUGAAGACGGGUUGCUGGACUGACACUGACGCUGAGUGCGCGAAAGCCAGGGGAGCAAACGGG
rnacentral:rRNA from 1 species